GGUUUGAUCCUGGCUCAGAACGAACGCUGGCGGCAUGCCUAACACAUGCAAGUCGAACGCGUGUAGCAAUACACGAGUGGCGCACGGGUGAGUAACGCGUGGGAACCUGCCCUGGAGUGUGGGAUAACCCGGCGAAAGCCGGGCUAAUACCGCAUACGGCCUGAGGGCGAAAGAUUUAUCGCUCUAGGAGGGGCCCGCGUCGGAUUAGCUAGUUGGUGAGGUAACGGCUCACCAAGGCGAUGAUCCGUAGCUGGUCUGAGAGGAUGAUCAGCCACACUGGGACUGAGACACGGCCCAGACUCCUACGGGAGGCAGCAGUGGGGAAUAUUGGACAAUGGGGGCAACCCUGAUCCAGCAAUGCCGCGUGGGCGAUGAAGGCCUUCGGGUUGUAAAGUCCUUUUGCACGCGACGAUGAUGACGGUAGCGUGAGAAGAAGCCCCGGCUAACUUCGUGCCAGCAGCCGCGGUAAUAAGUUUCCUGUGUGA
rnacentral:rRNA from 1 species